rnacentral:rRNA from 1 species
AUUGAACGCUGGCGGCAGGCCUAACACAUGCAAGUCGAACGAGCGGCGGACGGGUGAGUAAUGUCUGGGAAACUGCCUGAUGGAGGGGGAUAACUACUGGAAACGGUAGCUAAUAACGCAUACCAUCAGAUGUGCCCAGCUGGGAUUAGCUCGUUGGUGGGGUAACGGCUCACCAAGGCGACGAUCCCUAGCUGGUCUGAGAGGAUGACCGGCCACACGGGAACGGAGAAACGGUCCAGACUCCUACGGGAGGAAGCAGUGGGGAAGAUUGCACAAUGGGCGAAAGCCUGAUGCAGCCAUGCGGCGUGUAUGAAGAAGGCCUUCGGGUUGUAAAGUACUUUCAGCUGGGAGGCGUUACUCGCAGAAGAAGCACCGGCUAACUCCGUGCCAGCAGCCGCGGUAAUUC